rnacentral:rRNA from 1 species
GAGGAAUAAGCAUCGGCUAACUCCGUGCCAGCAGCCGCGGUAAUACGGGGGAUGCAAGCGUUAUCCGGAAUCAUUGGGCGUAAAGCGCCUGUAGGUUGUUUAAUAAGUCUGUUGUUAAAGCCUAGGGCUUAACCCUAGAAAAGCAAUGGAAACUACUAGACUAGAGUAUGGCAGGGGCAGAGGGAAUUUCUAGUGUAGCGGUGAAAUGCGUAGAUAUUAGAAAGAACACCAGUGGCGAAAGCGCUCUGCUGGACCAUUACUGACACUCAGAGGCGAAAGCUAGGGUAGCAAAAGGGAUUAGAUACCCCUGUAGUCCUAGCCGUAAACGAUGGAUACUAGAUGUUGUGCAACCGUACAGUAUCGUAGCUAACGCGUUAAGUAUCCCGCCUGGGGAGUACGCUCGCAAGGGUGAAACUCAAAGGAAUUGACGGGGGCCCGCACAAGCGGUGGAGCAUGUGGUUSAUUCGAUGCAACGCGAAGAACCUUACCAGGGCUUGACAUACUACAAAUUCUUUAGAGAUAGAGAAGUGCCUUCGGGAAUGUAGAUACAGGUGGUGCAUGGCUGUCGUCAGCUCGUGUCGUGAGAUGUUGGGUUAAGUCCCGCAACGAGCGCAACCCUUAUUUUUAGUUACUAACUCGUUAGGUUCUCUAGAAAGACUGCCGGUGACAAACCGGAGGAAGGUGAGGAUGACGUCAAGUCAGCAUGCCCCUUAUGCCCUGGGCUACACACGUGCUACAAUGGUUAAGACAAAGAGUCGCGAGCUCGCGAGAGUCAGCUAAUCUCAUAAACUUAGCCUAAGUUCAGAUUGUAGGCUGCAACUCGCCUACAUGAAG